rnacentral:rRNA from 1 species
UGCCAGCAGCCGCGGUAAGACGAACUGCGCGAACGUUAUUCGGAAUCACUGGGCUUAAAGAGUUCGUAGGCGGCUAUGCAGGUCAGGUGUGAAAUCCCACGGCUCAACCGUGGAACUGCGCUUGAAACCGUGUAGCUUGAGGGAGACAGAGGUGAGCGGAACCUAUGGUGGAGCGGUGAAAUGCGUUGAUAUCAUAGGGAACACCGGUGGCGAAGGCGGCUCACUGGGUCUCUUCUGACGCUGAGGAACGAAAGCUAGGGGAGCGAACGGGAUUAGAUA